UGGGGAAUAUUGCGCAAUGGACGGAAGUCUGAUGCAGCAACGCCGCGUGCGGGAUGACGGCCUUCGGGUUGUAAACCGCUUUUUCUCAUGACGAAGUUUUUUGACGGUAGUGGGGGAAGAAGCACCGGCUAACUACGUGCCAGCAGCCGCGGUGAUACGUAGGGUGCGAGCGUUGUCCGGAAUUAUUGGGCGUAAAGAGCUUGUAGGCGGUUUGUCGCGUCGAUAGUGCAAACUCAGUGCUUAACGCUGAGCCUGCUGUUGAUACGGGCAGACUAGAGGAAGGUAGGGGAGAAUGGAAUUCCCGGUGGAGCGGUGGAAUGCGCAGAUAUCGGGAGGAACACCGGUGGCGAAGGCGGUUCUCUGGGCCUUUCCUGACGCUGAGAAGCGAAAGCGUGGGGAGCGAACAGG
rnacentral:rRNA from 2 species